CUACGGGCUGCUGCAGUGGGGAAUAUUGCACAAUGGGCGCAAGCCUGAUGCAGCCAUGCCGCGUGUAUGAAGAAGGCCUUCGGGUUGUAAAGUACUUUCAGCGGGGAGGAAGGGAGUAAAGUUAAUACCUUUGCUCAUUGACGUUACCCGCAGAAGAAGCACCGGCUAACUCCGUGCCAGCAGCCGCGGUAAUACGGAGGGUGCAAGCGUUAAUCGGAAUUACUGGGCGUAAAGCACACGCAGGCGGGUUGUUAAGUCAGAUGUGAAAUCCCCGGGCUCAACCUGGGAACUGCAUCUGAUACUGGCAAGCUUGAGUCUCGUAGAGGGGGGUAGAAUUCCAGGUGUAGCGGUGAAAUGCGUAGAGAUCUGGAGGAAUACCGGUGGCGAAGGCGGCCCCCUGGACGAAGACUGACGCUCAGGUGCGAAAGCGUGGGGAGCAAACAGGAUUAGAUACCCUAGUAGUC
rnacentral:rRNA from 1 species